rnacentral:rRNA from 1 species
CAGGGAUUGCCCUAGUAACGGCGAGUGAAGCGGCAACAGCUCAAAUUUGAAAUCCGGCCUCGGCCCGAGUUGUAAUUUGCAGAGGAUGUUUCUGGCGCGGCGCCUUCUGAGUUCCCUGGAACGGGACGCCAUAGAGGGUGAGAGCCCCGUACGGUUGGACGCCUAGCCUGUGUGAAACUCCUUCGACGAGUCGAGUAGUUUGGGAAUGCUGCUCAAAAUGGGAGGUAUAUCUCUUCUAAAGCUAAAUAUUGGCCAGAGACCGAUAGCGCACAAGUAGAGUGAUCGAAAGAUGAAAAGCACCUUGAAAAGGGGGUUAAACAGCACGUGAAAUUGUUGAAAGGGAAGCGCCCAUGACCAGACUUGUGCCCGGCGGAUCACCCAGCGUUCUCGCUGGGGCACUCCGCCGGGUCCAGGCCAGCAUCGGUUUUCGCCGGGGGAUAAAGGCUCUGGGAACGUAGCUCCUCCGGGAGUGUUAUAGCCCUCUGCGUAAUACCCUGGCGGGGACCGAGGUACGCGCUCCGCAAGGAUGCUGGCGUAAUGGUCAUCAGCGACCCGUCUUGAAACACGGAUCAAGGAGUCGUCCAUUAGAGCGAGCGUUUGGGUGUCAAACCCGCACGCGUAAUGAAAGUGAACGUAGGUGAGAGCUUCGGCGCAUCAUCGACCGAUCCUGAUGUCCUCGGAUGGAUUUGAGUAUGAGUUUUACUGGACGGACCCGAAAGAUGGUGAACUAUGCCUGAAUAGGGUGAAGCCAGAGGAAACUCUGGUGGAGGCUCGCAGCGGUUCUGACGUGCAAAUCGAUCGUCAAAUUUGGGCAUGGGGGCGAAAGACUAAU